CUUCCAGGUUAUGGGAACUAGAAUGCUCACGUUCCUGAAGUAAAAUCUUCUCCCGGUGGCUUCAAACAGCUUGGAGUGCCAAUGAACGAUACGUAGGAAGCGGGUGUUCUCCUCCUGUUGCUGCAUCUCUUGGCCUGGGUAAGAUUCUAACCACCCUUGGAAAAGGCGGGCAAGGGAGCGAGGUCAAUCAAAAUGGCUGCGCUCCCUCUUUUGUGCCAUUUUGACAAACAAGCAAGAGCCCUCUCUUUUGUUUUUAUGAGGUGGGGCUGAUGUGGAUACAGAUGCUAACCAGCAUUGUGAGGAACAGCAAGGAAUCCAAAGCACCCCCAGCAGCAGAGAGCACGGGAAGAUAAUUCAUGAUUUUCUGCACCAGAAAGCACCCCGGAACGCCCAAGACACUUAGCCUGUACAGAGGACGGAGUGCGAGAAGCAGAGUUGCUGGGGACGCAAGGAGGAAGCACAUAUGCUGAAAAUGAAGAAGAAAAGACAGUCCUGCGAGUGCACAGAGGUGGCCUGCUCAGGGCUCAGAGAAUGGAGGAUAGCUAAGCUCCUUGGAUUUGUUCUGUUUGCUUUGACCGAGCACAUCCUGAGAGCUACUGUGCUGUGCACAGAGAACCGUUCUCGAACGACAGUCUUCUCGCUUUCUUUAUCUUAUAUUUUUAAGCCCUCAGUCACAAACUUUUAAGGUUUGGUAUAUUGUUAUAUUUGAUGUUAACUUUGUCAUUAAUAAGCACACUAUACUUAGAGAAGAGAGAACUCAAAAUAAAUGUAGUAAACAUUUCUUAUUAACAUCAAA
rnacentral:sRNA from 1 species